rnacentral:lncRNA from 1 species
GUUCACCUUAGCUGCCACAUAAGAUGGUAUAAAAAUGUGGUAUACAAAUAUGGUAAGAGUAGCAUUAUUCAUUAAAAAAGUGCCAAUAAAUCAUAAGUUGGUAUGAAAAUGUGGCAUACAAAUAUGGUGAGAGUAGCAUUAUUCAAAUUUAAAUUAUGAAAUUCAAUUACAAGGAAAUAAUACACUAAAUUUAGAUUUUCAAUGUGUUUUCCUUAUUUACAUCAAAGGGUAAAAUCAACACAACAAAAAAAGUAGUCAAAGGACCUACAUCUAAAACAAAACGCGUUGACUAAACUCAAUAGCAGCUAAUCGUUUUGAACCUAGAUCUAAUAAGCCUUUUAAAAGAGAAAAAAAAAAAAAAAAACUCAAUAUGAUUGUUCUGUCACUCCUUCCUUGUUGAACGGGAGUUUUCGAAACACCAAAGCAGCCAAGUCUUUGUCUAAAUAGGCAUCGGCGGUACUAGCAACAGGUAGCCUUUGAAAAAUAUUUAAAAAUAUUAUAUGUAUUUUAAUGUGAUUUCACUCUAUAAAAGAUUAGUAGUCCAUCCAAAUAUAGCCUAGUAAGCCAUUGUCCACUCAACCUAUA